rnacentral:rRNA from 1 species
AGUGAACGCUGGCGGUAGGCCUAACACAUGCAAGUCGAACGGAAGCACAGUAAGAGCUUGCUCUUACGGGUGGCGAGUGGCGGACGGGUGAGGCAUACAUCGGAAUCUACUUUUUCGUGGGGGAUAACGUAGGGAAACUUACGCUAAUACCGCAUACGACCUACGGGUGAAAGCAGGGGAUCUUGGGACCUUGCGCGAUUGAAUGAGCCGGUGUCGGAUUAGCUAGUUGGCGAGGUAAAGGCCCACCAAGGCGACGAUCCGUAGCUGGUCUGAGAGGAUGAUCAGCCACACUGGAACUGAGACACGGUCCAGACUCCUACGGGAGGCAGCAGUGGGGAAUGUUGGACAAUGGGCGCAAGCCUGAUCCAGCCAUACCGCGUGAGUGAAGAAGGCCUUCGGGUUGUAAAGCCCUUUUAUUGGGAAAGAAAAGCAGCAGGUUAAUACCCCGCUGUUCUGACGGUACCCAAAGAAUAAGCACCGGCUAACUUCGUG